rnacentral:rRNA from 1 species
UGGGGAAUAUUGCACAAUGGGCGCAAGCCUGAUGCAGCCAUGCCGCGUGUAUGAAGAAGUCCUUCGGGUUGUAAAGUACUUUCAGUCGGGAGGAAGGUGGUAAGGUUAAUAACCUUAUCAAUUGACGUUACCGACAGAAGAAGCACCGGCUAACUCCGUGCCAGCAGCCGCGGUAAUACGGAGGGUGCAAGCGUUAAUCGGAAUUACUGGGCGUAAAGCGCACGCAGGCGGUUGAUUGAGUCAGAUGUGAAAUCCCCGGGCUUAACCCGGGAAUUGCAUCUGAUACUGGGCAGAUAGAGGCUUGUAGAGGGGGGUAGAAUUCCAUGUGUAGCGGUGAAAUGCGUAGAGAUGUGGAAGAAUACCGGUGGCGAAGGCGGCCCCCUGGACAAAGACUGACGCUCAGGUGCGAAAGCGGGGGGAGCAAACAGG